GUCUCCAACUUAUUGUCUUGAAUGUGUCCUAUCCUCUCAGAUCUGAGAAACUAAGCAGAUUCGAGCCUGGUUAUUACUUUGAUGGGAGACUUUAGUGGAAGACUGGGUGUUGUAUCCU
rnacentral:rRNA from 1 species